rnacentral:rRNA from 1 species
UACGUAGGGUGCAAGCGUUAUCCGGAUUCACUGGGUUUAAAGGGUGCGUAGGCGGGCAGGUAAGUCCGUGGUGAAAUCUCCAAGCUUAACUUGGAAACUGCCGUGGAUACUAUUUGUCUUGAAUACUGUGGAGGUCAGCGGAAUAUGUCAUGUAGCGGUGAAAUGCUUAGAUAUGACAUAGAACACCAAUUGCGAAGGCAGCUGGCUACACAAAUAUUGACACUGAGGCACGAAAGCGUGGGGAUCAAACAGG